GUGCUUGCUUGGGCAACACAUGUACUAAAACUGGAAUGAUUAGCAUGGCCCCUGUGCAAGGAUGACACGCAAAUUCGUAAAGCAUUCCAUAUUUAA
rnacentral:snRNA from 1 species